UGCGCGCACCGCGCGGAAUUGAAGGCCGCGCUGGAGGCGCGGCUCGCCGCGCAUGCGUGCGAACCGCUCGCGCGCGACC
rnacentral:tRNA from 1 species